rnacentral:piRNA from 1 species
CGCGUGGACUAUGCCUUCAACACCAAU